rnacentral:rRNA from 1 species
CCUACGGGUGGCUGCAGUGGGGAAUAUUGGACAAUGGGCGAAAGCCUGAUCCAGCCAUGCCGCGUGAGUGAUGAAGGCCUUAGGGUUGUAAAGCUCUUUUGUGAGGGAAGAUAAUGACGGUACCUCAAGAAUAAGCUCCGGCUAACUUCGUGCCAGCAGCCGCGGUAAUACGAAGGGAGCUAGCGUUGUUCGGAAUCACUGGGCGUAAAGCGCGCGUAGGCGGUUUGACAAGUCAGGGGUGAAAUGCCGAAGCUUAACUUCGGAACUGCCUUUGA